CCAUCAUGGGGAAUGAGGUUGGGGGGUCACAGCCUCACGUGCCCUCACCCGUCCAGGCUGCCAGGCCUGCAGGGCACUCCCUAGGCUGAGUCAGGGUGACGGGAGAUAUGCCUGAGGGCACCCUCCCCUCUCAUGUGCCUGUGCCCGCCUCCCUGAGACCCACCAGAAAUGCCCCCUUUACAUUCUCAAUCCCUGGGGCAGAACUGUCACGCAGAGAAACCCGUCUGACCAGCAUUUGUGUGAGAGAGACCUUCAGGACACUCGAACAGAGACCCCCGGGACCGAGGCUAUUAGGUGCUGCAGGAUCCCUGACGGUUUCUGGGUCAGGGUUAACAACCUGUGGCCAUACCAAGCCACCACCCUGAAGGCAGUCAAUGGUCAUGUGUGUGGAUCGGAUGGCUUCCUCACGAGUUUGCAAUUUGAGGAGGCAAUUGUUCAGAGGCUGGUGUAUGGAUGCCUAGUGAUCUCAGCAUAGCCCUGGAAUCCUUCAUGGUGUGCAGAACCUCAUUCGUCUUUGCUGCAAAUAAUUUCUCAUCAUCGAAGGGGAGAUCCUCCACGGUGUUCUGUAUCUCACGUGGGAAAGACGAAGAGUUGAACCAUGAAGCCCAAUGCAUAACAACAGCUGUAGCGGUGGACCUGGCUGCGGUGUCCGCAGCAUGAAGGGCAGCCUGGAGUAACGUGCGGGAAAUUAUUUGUCCUUCAGAGACCACUGCCUUAAAUUGCGGUCUCUUUUCUUCUGGAAUAGUUAAUAAAUUCCAUUAAUUGCCCGUAAUUUCUAUGGUCAUAUUUGGCUAGGAGGGUGGCAAACUAUGCCACACCAAAUUGCAGUGUGGAAGUUGCAUAAACCUUGCAGCCAAAUAAAUCCAUUCUUUCACUGUCCCUGUCAGGAGUAGUAGACCGGAAAUGCUGCUGCUUGUUUCUUUGGUUUGCCGCUUCCACUACCAGUGAGUUUGGUGCUGGAUGUGUGAAAAGAAAUGCUGAGCCCUUGGAGGGAACAUAGUAUUGCUGAUCUGCCCUCUUGCAGGUCGGGGGUAUAGUGGCUGGAGUUUGCCAGAUAUUCUUGGCCGGGUCCAUGACAGCUCCAUUGAUUGGGAGGGCAAUCUUGGAGGAGGCCGCAGGUUGCAAGAUGUCUGUCACUUCAUGUUGAGUCUCUGACACCUCCUCCAUAGUGAUCUUGAGUUCACUAGCCACCCUUUUAAAUAGGUCUUAAGAAGGGGUAAAAGAAAAUAAAACUUGUCUGACUAAAAUACUAUACUAACUGUACUAACAAAUGAAGUAUGCGAAAGCUAAAAAAUGUUGAGCAGGACUGCUGAGCUCCAUCUCAGGCCGGGGCAGUAGAGAAGGAACUGAGGAGUCACGGCCAUGCAAGUGCUGUUAAGGCACCAGCAGCGCGUGCACAGCCCGUGCGGGUACUGCUGUACAAAUCUGAGCGAAGAUGUGGGGACGCACCAGCACCUGGGAGUGGAGCACCCACAGAGACAUCUCUCGAAGAAGAAUCCAGGAUUCAUGACUUUUGACUAAAGUUGGUUGAGAAUUUUCUGUCUGAAUGAUUUUCUGUCAGAAAAAUGCAGUUUCUGCAAACUUUUGAUGAAAUAUUUUGAUUUUUCUUUUGGGCAAAUUAAAAAUAAAUAUUUUGUUUUGUGGCAAUUUGAACCAAAUCAGAAUAUUUUGUUCUCUGAAACUGACCCAAAAGGUUUAGUUUCUAAUCUAUUUUCCUAUAAGCACAUUGCCUUAUGGGAGUUGUAGUUAAGGCCCUCAUUCUCUAACCAAGCUGCUUGGUGCAUCAUGGGAGAUGUAGUCCAGCCAGGGAGCCUGACCCUUAGGGAGAAUCAGAAUCUUGAACUAUACUCCAUAGGCAUCGACUCCGUGGGUGCUCCAGGGCAUGCUUGCGGUUCGGGGUGGAAUUAGGUGGGAGGA